rnacentral:SRP_RNA from 1 species
GCCGGGCAUGGUGGCGCACGCUUGUAAUCCCAGCUACUCAGGAGGCUGAGGCAGGAGAAUUGCUUGAACUCGGGAGGUGGAGGUUGCAGUGAGCCGAGACUGCACCACUGCAGUCCAGCCUGGGUGACAGAGUAAGAUUCUGUCUCAA